CCUACGGGAGGCAGCAGUGGGGAAUAUUGGUCAAUGGGCGAAAGCCUGAUCCAGCCAUGCCGCGUGUGUGAAGAAGGCCUUCGGGUUGUAAAGCACUUUCAGUGGGGAAGAAAGCCUUGGGGCUAAUACCCUCGAGGAAGGACAUCACCCACAGAAGAAGCACCGGCUAACUCCGUGCCAGCAGCCGCGGUAAUACGGAGGGUGCGAGCGUUAAUCGGAAUUACUGGGCGUAAAGCGCGCGUAGGCGGUCUGAUAAGCCGGUUGUGAAAGCCCCGGGCUCAACCUGGGAACGGCAUCCGGAACUGUCAGGCUAGAGUGCAGGAGAGGAAGGUAGAAUUCCCGGUGUAGCGGUGAAAUGCGUAGAGAUCGGGAGGAAUACCAGUGGCGAAGGCGGCCUUCUGGACUGACACUGACGCUGAGGUGCGAAAGCGUGGGUAGCAAACAGGAUUAGAUACCCGGGUAGUC
rnacentral:rRNA from 1 species